UACGUAUGUCGCAAGCGUUAUCCGGAUUUAUUGGGCGUAAAGCGCGUCUAGGCGGCAAGGAAAGUCUGAUGUGAAAAUGCGGAGCUCAACUCCGUAUGGCGUUGGAAACUGCCUUACUAGAGUACUGGAGAGGUAGGCGGAACUACAAGUGUAGAGGUGAAAUUCGUAGAUAUUUGUAGGAAUGCCGAUGGGGAAGCCAGCCUACUGGACAGAUACUGACGCUAAAGCGCGAAAGCGUGGGUAGCAAACAGG
rnacentral:rRNA from 2 species